rnacentral:rRNA from 1 species
CUAAGUUUGAUGGCGACCGGCGCACGGGUGAGUAACACGUAUCCAACCUGCCGAUGACUCGGGGAUAGCCUUUCGAAAGAAAGAUUAAUACCCGAUGGCAUAGUUCUUCCGCAUGGUAGAACUAUUAAAGGAUUUCGGUCAUCGAUGGGGAUGCGUUCCAUUAGGUUGUUGGCGGGGUAACGGCCCACCAGGCCUUCGAUGGAUAGGGGUUCUGAGAGGAAGGUCCCCCACAUUGGAACUGAGACACGGUCCAAACUCCUACGGGAGGCAGCAUG